AUUUAUUUAGUUUAAAAAAAAACAUUAUAUUUUCAAUAUAAAAAUAAAUUAAUUAUUUAAUAAUUG
rnacentral:tRNA from 1 species